rnacentral:sRNA from 1 species
CUCUGUCCCCAGGCGCCAUGAGCAAGAUCAGCGAGGCCGUGAAGCGCGCCCGCGCCGCCUUCAGCUCGGGCAGGACCCGUCUGCUGCAGUUCCGGAUCCAGCAGCUGGAGGCGCUGCGGCGCCUGAUCCAGGAGCAGGAGCAGGAGCUGGUGGGCGCGCUGGCCGCCGACCUGCACAAGAAUGAAUGGAACGCCUACUAUGAGGAGGUGGUGUACGUCCUAGAGGAGAUCGAGUACAUGAUCCAGAAGCUCCCUGAGUGGGCCGCGGAUGAGCCCGUGGAGAAGACGCCCCAGACUCAGCAGGACGAGCUCUACAUCCACUCGGAGCCACUGGGCGUGGUCCUCGUCAUUGGCACCUGGAACUACCCCUUCAACCUCACCAUCCAGCCCAUGGUGGGCGCCAUCGCUGCAGGUGCAUGGCCCUGUGGGAAGGGAAGCUGGGGGAGCACCGUCCCCCAGCGUGGAGCCAAGCCAGGAUGGGCUCAGGCCUGUGUUAAGAGUCCUGGGGUCAGAUAAGGGUUUGCUGGGUCUGUCACAGGAGGCUGUGGGGACCAAGCUGUUUAGCCAGGCCUCUUGGUGCCUGAGGUCCAGUCAGGCUCAGGUGUCCACACCU